GACGAACGCUGGCGGCGUGCCUAAUACAUGCAAGUAGGACGCUGAAGGAGGAGCUUGCUUCUCUGGAUGAGUUGCGAACGGGUGAGUAACGCGUAGGUAACCUGCCUGGUAGCGGGGGAUAACUAUUGGAAACGAUAGCUAAUACCGCAUAAUAGUAGAUGUUGCAUGACAUUUGCUUAAAAGGUGCAAUUGCAUCACUACCAGAUGGACCUGCGUUGUAUUAGCUAGUUGGUGGGGUAACGGCUCACCAAGGCGACGAUACAUAGCCGACCUGAGAGGGUGAUCGGCCACACUGGGACUGAGACACGGCCCAGACUCCUACGGGAGGCAGCAGUAGGGAAUCUUCGGCAAUGGACGGAAGUCUGACCGAGCAACGCCGCGUGAGUGAAGAAGGUUGUCGGAUCGUAAAGCUCUGUUGUAAGAGAAGAACGAGUGUGAGAGAGGAAAGUUCACACUGUGACGGUAUCUUACCAGAAAGGGACGGCUAACUACGUG
rnacentral:rRNA from 1 species